rnacentral:rRNA from 1 species
CGUAGUUGGAUUUCUGGUCUGAUGCCCUGGCCCGCACCUAUUUCGGUGUGAGUGCCGGCUGCGCGUCUGCCAUCCUUCUAGAAAACGUUCCUACCCUUCGCUGGGCCGGGUUCGGGAUCUAGAUCUUUUACUUUGAAAAAAUUAGAGUGUUUAAAGCAGGCUUUUGCUGUGAAUACAUUAGCAUGGAAUAAUAAUCUAGGACUUCGGUUCUAUUUUGUUGGUUUCUAGUACUGAAGUAAUGA